rnacentral:rRNA from 1 species
GACGAACGCUGGCGGCGUGCUUAACACAUGCAAGUCGAACGGAAGGGCCCUGCUUUUGUGGGGUGCUCGAGUGGCGAACGGGUGAGUAACACGUGAGUAACCUGCCCUUGACUUUGGGAUAACUUCAGGAAACUGGGGCUAAUACCGGAUAGGAGCUCCUGCUGCAUGGUGGGGGUUGGAAAGUUUCGGCGGUUGGGGAUGGACUCGCGGCUUAUCAGCUUGUUGGUGGGGUAGUGGCUUACCAAGGCUUUGACGGGUAGCCGGCCUGAGAGGGUGACCGGCCACAAUGGGACUGAGGUAACGGCCCGACUUCUACGGGAGGGAGGAGGGGGGAAUAUUGCAACAUGGGCGGAAGCCUGAUGCCGGCACGCCGCGUGCGGGAAGACGGCCUUCGGGUUGUAAACCGCCUUCGCCUGGGACGAAGGGGGAGUGAAGGUAAUGGGUAAAGGAGCCACGGCCUACUACGUU